rnacentral:lncRNA from 1 species
GGGGUUUGUUUCUCAGGGGUUUUUUUCAGCCUGUAUAACUUGAAUGAACGUGUUGUAGACUUACGCUUCACCUUGUAUUUAAACAAGCAGAAGCUUAGAAGAUUCCUCUUGUAGUGGGUGGAAUCAAUGCUACGAGCAUGUGCCAGUUAUGGCUAUUCUGGACAUUUAAAAAAGUAUGUAGUCUCAUAGCUUGCUCCAGAAUAUUCAAGCCCAACUAUUUCUAAAACAAGAAAAAAAGAAAAAAAAAAAAGAAAAAAAAAAAAGAAAAAAAAAAAAGAAAAAAAAAAAAGAAAAAAAAAAAAGAAAAAAAAAAAAGAAAAAAAAAAAAGAAAAAAAAAAAAGAAAAAAAAAAAAGAAAAAAAAAAAAGAAAAAAAAAAAAGAAAAAAAAAAAAGAAAAAAAAAAAAGAAAAAAAAAAAAGAAAAAAAAAAAAGAAAAAAAAAAAAGAAAAAAAAAAAAGAAAAAAAAAAAAGAAAAAAAAAAAAGAAAAAAAAAAAAGAAAAAAAAAAAAGAAAAAAAAAAAAGAAAAAAAAAAAAGAAAAAAAAAAAAGAAAAAAAAAAAAGAAAAAAAAAAAAGAAAAAAAAAAAAGAAAAAAAAAAAAGAAAAAAAAAGGUUCCUUAGAACUAACACUUUAAAUGUUUUCCAGGGUCCUAGCAAAGGGACAGCAUUAAUCCACAAGUACAUCAAGCCUCAAACUUUGAGGCCAGGGAAAAUAAGUUUAAAUCAGCCCCCGGUGUACAAAUUUUUGCAACUUUUCUUUUUCUUUAUCGGUGAUAGGGCACCCUUCAUCAUAUCUUUUAACUCAAAGGGAAGGCACGUUUUGCAUAUGUUGCAUCUCUCCAAACACAGUGUCCUAGCUGGAGGACCCUGUUCUCAUAUGCAAAGCUGGAGUAAGACAGGGAAAGAGUCCGCUGUGGUGCGUGGUCCCUAGUAAGGGAACAGAGCAUCAUCUUGGGUUUUUCUGCAGCUGCCAGAUAAAUCCUCUAAAGGGAAAGAAACCCAACAGAGCAAGCCCCAACCCCCUGCACAAACUAUUGCAGACACCUCAGUCCCUCAGCUACAAGCCAGCCACCACAUGUAUUUUUAACUGGGCUGUGCAAAAGCUCUACUUCUCUGUGGC